rnacentral:rRNA from 1 species
GUCGAGAAUUUUUCUCAAUGGGGGAAACCCUGAAGGAGCGACGCCGCGUGGGGGAUGAAGGUCUUCGGAUUGUAAACCCCUGUCAUCCGGGAGCAAGGCGCUCCACCUAACACGUGGAUCGUUGAUAGUACCGGAAGAGGAAGCCGUGGCUAACUCUGUGCCAGCAGCCGCGGUAAUACAGAGACGGCAAGCGUUGCUCGGAUUCAUUGGGCGUAAAGGGUCCGCAGGCGGUCAGGCAAGUCGGAUGUGAAAUCCCAGAGCUUAACUCUGGUAGGUCAUUCGAAACUGCCUGACUCGAGGAGUGGAGAGGAGACUGGAAUUGUCGGUGUAGCGGUGAAAUGCGUAGAGAUCGACAAGAACACCGGUGGCGAAGGCGGGUCUCUAGACACCUCCUGACGCUCAUGGACGAAAGCCAGGGGAGCAAACGGGAUUAGAAACCCCGGUAGUCC